UACGUAGGUGGCGAGCGUUAUCCGGAAUACUGGCGUAAAGCGCAAGCAGGCGGCUCAUUAAGUUUGACGUGAAAUCUCCCGGCUUAACCCGGGAGAAGCCGUUGAAAACUGAUAAGCUUGAGGCGAUGAGAGGGGUGUGGAAUUCCCGGUGUAGUGGUGGAAUGACGUAGAUAUCGGGAGGAACACCAGAGGCGAAAGCGACACCCUGGCAUUUGCCUGACGCUGAGAUGCGAAAGCGUGGGGAGCAAACGGG
rnacentral:rRNA from 1 species